CCAACUAUACACAUUGAUGAGAGUGUUAAAAUGGAGAAUAAUGCUUCGGUGGAAGCACACGGCCUUGAUGGCAGAGAUUUCAAUGUCAAUUUUAUGCAUCAUAUUGCGGAUUAUAUUUUCAUCAUCAAAAAGAUAGUAUUGAAAUGUUUGAGCAACGAAGGUGUACACUCAACAGCAAUCUAUCUAUUAAGCACGCUAUCGACCUAUUCAUGGGAAGGCAAGCUAACAACGAUGCUUGCUUCUUUGGCCAUCAUCCAUGGAGAAUCCAACGUGAAAGGAUCCACACAUCUAAAGUGAAGUCUAAAUAUAGUACCAUCCUUUGAUCACAACUAGCAACCAUCAUAUAACUCUGCGCUACAAAAUUCAACACUACCUAUUACGAACUACUGGAUUGCAAGAAGUGUUACGUUCUUGUUUAUGCAACACAUUUUGCCCACCUACUUAUGAUGGGAAUCAAGUCCCAAAUCAGCUAAAGGAACAAUCCAAUUUAGCUACGAAAGUCAAAGACAUACAUAUAAUCACUGCUUGCAACCCACUACUAGAGGAGAAGAGAGCAGAGGAAUCUUAUAAAGCAUUUUGCACGUUUCAAACAAUUAUUCCAUUUGGUAAAAUUUUAAGAGUUAAUACUGAAGACAAAAUAUUGAGAAGUCAAUUUAUGAUUGAUAAGAACUAAUGAGAAGAUUAGUUUUCUCAUUAUGUUUAGGGAAAUUUUUUUUAGUACUAUUGACUUUAUUAAACAUCUGUUUAUAAUUACUUUCUCAACCUACCGAGCUCAAACCAAUGAUGACCAAUUACUUUCUCAACCUACUAAGCUCAAAUCAAUGAUGACCUCCCAUUUCGAAGAGCUACUUCAAUUCGUCCACAAGGUCAUUGAAUUUCAUUGAAUGAAUGAUUGAACUCCAGAGAAUACACAUUACAUUAGUUUAAAAUUUCUUAUGCAUGACUCAUAUAUGACCAAAAGAUCAUGGAAGUGUUGGAGGAGACAAACAAAUUCUCUCUCAUUAUUUGCUAGAUAUUUAGUCCGAAUGUUGUAAGGAGA